GUGCUCACUUUGGCAGCACAUAUAAUAAUAUUGGAAUGAUACAGAGAAGACUAGCAUGGCUCCUGUACAAGGAUGACGCAUAAAUUCAUGAAGCAUUCCAUAUUUUU
ensembl:snRNA U6 U6 spliceosomal RNA